CAUAUUUAAAUUAUCCCGAUUUUUAUUUUUUUAUGGAUUUUUAAAAAUCUGGCUUUUCUAGCUUUUUAAGAAUUGGUCUGCCAUAAAAUUUCUUUCUACUCAAAAGCUAUUUCUCGACCUACUCAGAAGUAGAUACUAAAUUUCUUGACCCUAACCUAGGCAUGGACAACUUGAUCCCUGGUUCUGUGACUCUUAAUCCCAUUAGCAAGUAUUCUGUGAAUCCUAAAGUACAAGAUGGUAGGUAGCUUAAAAAUGCAUGAACUUAGUCUUAGCCAAAAUUACUUUCAUAUCAUUCAUUUUUUCAUUUGCUUAUUUCACAGUACAAAAGUAUAGUUUUUACUUGAAUGACUUGCAAAUUUAAAAGUAGUUUCUAACUUUGGAUUCCACAGAAUUCUGAUGUAGAAUUUUACAGAACUCGGCAGCUUUUUUCCAUCAUGAAAUAUCAAAUUCAAAAUAUUUAAUACUGAUUAAGCAGUAGUCAGACAUCAUCCACAUUGAAAUUUUACAAUGUCCCAGUAAUGACCUUUAUACCAAUUUAUUACAGCUUAGAUCUUAAAUGUCCCCCAAAGGCCAGGUAUUGAAUGCUCGGUUGCUAGCUUUUGACACUGUUGGGAA
rnacentral:lncRNA from 1 species